AUCUUGACGUUGAGCGGGAAGAGUACCUCGUGGAGUCCUUUACAGCGAACCGGGUUUGGUGUGAGCCGGGAAAGGGAAAGCUUGGGAAAAUCACCCGGGAGUCGUGUGCCGAAUCCCGUUUGGGUAGUAAGUAACACCGUUUUGCCCUCGUUACCGGGCCGUUGAGUGGUCAUGGCUUCUUUGUCAUGGCAAUCAGGGUGGUACCACGGAAGAUUAUGAGAAGUCUCUCGUCCCUAUU
rnacentral:ncRNA from 1 species